CUUUGAUAAUUGUUCUACAUUGUUAUUAGCAUGAAAUUUCUUCGAUGGUUUUAAAUUAUUGUAACAAUUAUAUAUAUAUUAUUCAAAUAUUGAAUACUAUUAUAGACAAUAGUAUUGUAAGCAUUGUAAUUAGUACUUACACAAGUUUUAAUUUAAAAUUUAGAUACUUAUUGGUUACUUAAAAAAUUGUGUAAAAGGAAUCUUUAAUAGAAAAUAGGUAGUAAGUAAUAUUUUAUUAAAUUGGUAUAAUGAUACUGAGUUAUUUUAAAACUAAAAGGGGGGAAGUUGAGGCAUAACUAAAUGGUCUAUAAUUAAGAUUAGAUGUAUUUAAGAAAGGGGUUAAGGUUGUAUACUUUUAUACUCUUAUAACAAAGUAGUUUACAUACUUUUAAUUGUAGGAUUAUUUAUUUUUAUUAAAAGUGUCAAUAUUUAAUAAUAUUUAUUAUUAGCUUUUUUACAUUUAAUAUUUUUUUAGUGAAUACAGCCUAAAUGAUAAUAUAAUUCAUAUUAUUGUGAUUAUAAUGCCGACUAUAGAAUAUUGUAUCAGUUAUAAUUUUCUAAAAAAAGGAGAACCACAAAAAACUAGAAAUGACAGUAAUAACAAUAUAUACCUACUAUCAAAUAAAUAAAAUAAAUAUGACCAAAAUUGUAUUUAUCUUCCUCGUUGACAGAGACCACUUUUUAGACUAUUAAAUAUCUACUUUCAUAAUUUUCAUGAAAUUUUGAAGGGGGAGUGAACCCUUAAACCCCCUUUGUACACACACCUAAUAGUAGAAAACUAAAUAUGAAAUUGUCACUUAAAAUUUAAGUUCAGUUCACCAUUGCUCUAUCCCAUAUUUGGAAGAAACUGUUAAAUAACUUACGAUGAAAACAAACCACUGAUGGUUUCAUUAAUGAAAACCAAUCAAGAUUAAUUAAUUGAAACAAACCUAUUUUUAUCAAAUAAUGACUUUUAUCAUGUUUUUGUCAUUUACUUCAAGUCUUUUAUAUGCACAGAACAAUUUUUCUUACA